GUAGGGUGCGAGCGUUAAUCGGAAUUACUGGGGGCGUAAAGCGUGCGCAGGCGGUUGUGCAAGACAGAUGUGAAAUCCCCCGGGGCUCAACCUGGGGAAUUGCAUUUGUGACUGCACGGCUAGAGUGUGUCAGAGGGGGGCAGAAUUCCACGUGUAGCAGUGAAAUGCGUAGAGAUGUGGAGGAAUACCGAUGGCGAAGGCAGCCCCCUGGGAUAACACUGACGCUCAUGCACGAAAGCGUGGGGAGCAAACAGGAUUAGAUACCCUGGUAGUCCACGCCCUAAACGAUGUCAACUAGUUGUCGGGUCUUAAUUGACUUGGUAACGCAGCUAACGCGUGAAGUUGACCGCCUGGGGAGUACGGUCGCAAGAUUA
rnacentral:rRNA from 1 species